GUGCUACUGAUCCAAAAUACUCAAAGCUUCAUAGAACUGAAACCAACAUUUAUUUUAGUUCCAUUCUGCUGCUGAUACAGACUUUAGGUUUCUGAACAUUAACCUUGUUGCUGCCUUUCAUAGUGUGUAACUUGAAGGCCCUGAGUACUCUGAGUACUUUCUCCCACACUGGAAACACUGGGAUGAUCACAUUAUUUGAACAUUACCUAAUAAGACUGAUUCAGCACAGACAGUUAGUUAUGUUAAACUUUUCUAGCAGUCCUGGAACAGGUUGGCUACUGAAGCAUGUUUUAACCGAAACAUGUUUUUACUGAAACAGGUUUGUUAUUGAAAGACGUUUUUACUGAAACAUGUUUUUACUGAAACAGGUUUUUACUGAAACAGGUUUGUUAUUGAAACACGUUUUUACUGAAACAUGUUUUUAUUUUUACUGAAACAGGUUUGUUAUUGAAACAGGUUUUUACUGAAACAGGUUUUUACUGAAACAGGUUUGUUUUUGAAACACGUUUUUACUGAAACAUGUUUUUAUUUUUUACUGAAACAGGUUUGUUAUUGAAAUAGGUUUUUACUGAAAGAGGCUGGCUACUGAAGCAAGUUUUUACUGAAAGAUGUUGUUACGGCCCUGGUCAUAAUGUGUCUUGGUGGCUGUUUCUUGUGUCUGUGUCUUUAAGUCUCUGCAGGUCCCUGAUUGGAUAAGCUGACGGCUGCUGAUUGGUCCCCUGAUCAUGUGGUUGCUUUGAAAAUCUGUUACCAGCAGUUGAGCCACUGACAGCAGCAGCAGACCUGACCCUGGUUUCCAAAACCUGUAUCAUUCUGUUUGAGCUUCUCGUGACUUACCGAGCUUUGUAUAUAGCGUGUACAUUAGUUUUCACUUGUAAAUAGCACUGAAGCAGAAGGGGUGAGCUGCCUUAUUAUUUUUCCUUAUAGUGUUUUCUCCUGUUUAUUUUAGUUAGGUAGUUAGGUGUAGCGCUUGUCUUUUGUUUGGUUUUUGUUUCACAUAGGGUUUUAGACAACACCUCCUUUCCUGACUUAGCUUAUUUUGUUUGUUAUUUUGGCCUUUGUUCACC
ensembl:lncRNA